rnacentral:rRNA from 1 species
AUUGAACGCUGGCGGCAGGCCUAACACAUGCAAGUCGAACGGUAACAGGAAGAAGCUUGCUUCUUUGCUGACGAGUGGCGGACGGGUGAGUAAUGUCUGGGAAACUGCCUGAUGGAGGGGGAUAACUACUGGAAACGGUAGCUAAUACCGCAUAACGUCGCAAGACCAAAGAGGGGGACCUUCGGGCCUCUUGCCACCGGAUGUGCCCAGAUGGGAUUAGCUAGUAGGUGGGGUAACGGCUCACCUAGGCGACGAUCCCUAGCUGGUCUGAGAGGAUGACCAGCCACACUGGAACUGAGACACGGUCCAGACUCCUACGGGAGGCAGCAGUGGGGAAUAUUGCACAAUGGGCGCAAGCCUGAUGCAGCCAUGCCGCGUGUAUGAAGAAGGCCUUCGGGUUGGAAAGUACUUUCAGCGGGGAGGAAGGGAGUAAAGUUAAUACCUUUGCUCAUUGACGUUACCCGCAGAAGAAGCACCGGCUAACUCCGUG